rfam:Brachypodium distachyon strain Bd21 chromosome 3, whole genome shotgun sequence.
CACAUACUCCCUCCAUCCCAUAUUAAGUGACUUUCUAUUACAUGUAUCUAGACGUAUUUUAGUAUAUAAAUACAUUCAUGUUUAGACAAAUUUGAGUCACUUAAUAUGGGACGGAGGGAGUACAAA